rnacentral:rRNA from 1 species
UGGGGAAUCUUGCGCAAUGGGCGAAAGCCUGACGCAGCCAUGCCGCGUGAAUGAUGAAGGUCUUAGGAUUGUAAAAUUCUUUCACCGGGGACGAUAAUGACGGUACCCGGAGAAGAAGCCCCAGCUAACUUCGUGCCAGCAGCCGCGGUAAUACGAAGGGGGCUAGCGUUGCUCGGAAUUACUGGGCGUAAAGGGAGCGUAGGCGGACAGUUAAGUCAGAGGUGAAAGCCCAGGGCUCAACCCUGGAAUAGCCUUUGAUACUGGCUGUCUUGAGUAUGGGAGAGGUGUGUGGAACUCCGAGUGUAGAGGUGAAAUUCGUAGAUAUUCGGAAGAACACCAGUGGCGAAGGCGACACACUGGCCCAUUACUGACGCUGAGGCUCGAAAGCGUGGGGAGCAA